UGGAGAGCUAAUGCAUGGUGCUAAGUAUGGAAAGGUCUCUUGUGGUUUGGUUGUGCCAGAGACAUAUGUACAUUAUUUCCAUGUUGGGUCAGAAGUCUUGGUACACUUUGGGUGAGUGGCAGUUGGGAAGAUGGAUGACCUUCAGAUAAUUUGAGAUGAAGAAGUUCUUUUAAAUGAUUGAAAGUGAUCAUCAUAGAAUCAACUCCAUUAUGAAGAUAAAUUAUGAGCAAGUCAGCACUCCUUUUGUCCAACACCUGAGAGAUCUGAGUACCCAGCCUACUGUUGAAUUAAUUGGUGACCAAGAAAAGAUGACAGAGAGGGGAAUCAAAAGUGGAUGCCAUCUUGAUCAAGAAUAUAUACACUGACUAGAAAAUAUCUGAAAAUAUAUAGAUGAACAUUCAAGCAUUUAUAAUAAUGAAAGUUAUUCAGCAAGAGAGUUUUUGCACAAGUUUAAUUUUCAGUAAAAUUGUGUAUAUUGUGCACUGAGGAACUUAGUAUGUAACUCAUUAUGAUUAUCCAUUUCUUUAGAGGAU